CAGGUAUUAUGUUAUGAUCAUUUGUCCUUCCAUUGUACAUUAGUAGCAUUAUUUAUUAACCUUUAGUUGGUUUGUUGUUCUAGUACUGUGAGCAUAUUUGGAGGUUUGAACUAUGUGAGGAGUUGAUCAGAUUAUUUCUGUUGAGCUUUGUACAAUUAGUAGGCCAUGUUAGUGCUGUUUCAUGUGUAUGAAAGAAACUUACUCUUGUAUUAGGCACUUAGAUAAAAAUACCUUCCAUGAUUUGUGAGUGCAUGUUAGACAACUCUAUAAUCUUAUAUUUCACCUAAAUUCUGAAAGGACCAAAUGUGCAAUGGUGAAAAAUAAACACUUCAGAGAGCCCUCUAGGUAGGUAACACACCAACAGCUGUCACUAUAGUCUCCUUUCAUAUUUCUGUUAAUAGCAGCAAAAUAUUUUCUUCAUAGCUCCAUUCCAAAAUAUAGCCUGUAUGUCUAUGUGUAGCAUGCAGUAAAGAAAGAAGUUGUAUGCUUUUAGCUGAAAGAAGGAUAGGUAUAGGCAUCUUAAGUGAAAAAGUCUCAAUUUGUUUUAAUUUAAAGUCAGGAUCCGAAUAAUGCGUUGAUAAAAUGUACUGAUGAGGCUUGGAUGUCUUUAUUUAUUUGUAUUAUUUUUGGAAGUCACCAUCACUUCUGUAUGUGCUUCCUAACCUAAUCUGUAUUUCUAUCCCUUUUCCCCAAAACCCAAAUUCUGUAAGUAGAAUAAAUAAAUAAUUUUUUAAAAAUUGGAAGAGAGUUCUAAGAAUGUCCAGAAAUAUUUUAAAUUACAUUGUGACCACAAUGUGGCCCAUGUAUUUCUUGUCUCUGGAUAUCUCAGAGUUUCUAAGUUCUCAACAAAUCAAAUUGUGUGACAAGGUCGUAACUAGAAUGAAUGCAAAAUAGGAUUCUAUGAACAUGUUAAAAUUUUCUUAUCAUGAAUCAUAUGAAAUUACAGCCUUUGUAAUUUUUUUAGGAAAAUAAAAGUGCAAGGAGCUUGCCUCUUGUUUGAUGCAUAAAUCACAGUUUCCUCCUGCCCAUUCAGCCUUUGAUUCACAAUCUUGUCCUCCUAAGGCAUCUUCUGUGUGAACAUUUGAUGAGGAAGACCCUGGAGCGUAAAUGGCGAAGUGCAUACUCACAUCUCUGCUAUGCCUGAUUUAGACCAGAACAGGGAUUUUCAGCCUUUGCUCUGCAGACCCCUGUGGUUUUCAGAAAAAAAAAAAAAACCCAGCAAAUGUAAUGCCAACUUCCCAUAUGCUGCAGAAGUCUACAGACGUGACAUUUCUGAAAGGAUCCACAUCUCCUCUGGGAAAUUUAUGCAGGUUAGGGUGAUGUUUUAAGAUUGGACAGAAAAGUACGCCUUGUGGAAUUCGGGGGAUCAGUUAUAGGGUUAAAAGGGAAAAUAAUCUAGGUGUCCUUUCUUAAUUGGAUUGUUUAGUUUUAAAAGACCUUGUAACAAGAGUUAGUUACCCAUUUUGUGCCUUGCUAAUGAAAAAGCUGCCAAACUCACAGCAGUGAGAUUGUAACAUAGGUAAGAAAUAAUAAAAACCUGAGUCCAAACAUGAAACGCCAUCUCAAGUGCCUUCAAUCUGGACCUCUAGAAACUGAUAACCCACCACUAAGUAAAUCUGAGCCCAUCCGAAACAGUGGGAACACCUCUGUGGUAGCAUAUUUAAGAAAGAGAAAAUCCCAUCAGAAACUGGGAUAGAGAAGUGAGAAUAUGUAAGACAAACAGCUCUGUAGGCCUCAAGGUCAUUGCAGAAAGAUGGGGUGGAGGUAGUCCAGGCAUACAACCAGAGAUUCUCCUACAAUCUGCAGAGAGUUUAUAGUGACAUUCCUUGCAUCCCAUGGAUAUCCACAAUGGAGCAAAUAGGCACCUUCUGCCUUUAGACAACCCCACAUCAGUGCAGGUGAAGCUGCACAUAAGUGCAGCUUAAAAGCAGCUGUGAGUGAUGAAGGGCCUAUGCUUGACCUCCUGACAUGAACUGCAGCCCGUGGGGAGGACACCAUACAGGAGCAAGUUUGCUGUCAGACCUGUGACUGAGGACAGAACUCCACAGCAGGACCCCAGUGGAUCAGUCAGCCUGUGGGAAGGACUAAUGCUGGAGAAGUUCAUGUAUGACUGUCUCCAAUGGGUAAGCCCUUAUGAUGGAGCAAGGGAAGAGUGUGAGGAGGAAGGAACCGCAUAGAAGGAGUGUUAUGAACUGGCUGUAACUGACCUUUUUCCCCAUCCUACUGCACCACUUGAGGUGCAGGAGUUAAAAGAGUUGGGAUUGAAGCUGAGCCUGGGAAGAAUGGAAAGGUGGGGGGAAUAUUUUUUUUUUUAAUUUGUUCUUAUUUAUUAUUAUUUUAUUCUGCUUGGAAAUAAAUUCAAUUUAUUUUCCCAAGUCUAGUCUGUUUUCCCCAACUUUUUUACAAUUGGUAAGUGAUCUUCCUUAUUUCCGUCCCGUGUUCUUCAUUGUCCCUCUGUCCUGUUAAGGAGGAAAAGUGAUAGAGUAGCUUGGUGGGUGCCUGGCAACUAACCAAGGUCAACCCACAACAAAAUAUUAAAGAAUUUUUUUUUCUGAACCUGAGACUGUGGAAAAUAGAUGUCAGAAAGGAGACAGAAAAGUAACUUAUGGUGGAUGAGAACAAAGUCCCCAAAACACUGAUGCUUCAUCUAUGCACUAGGUUAUGCAAUGCAAUUAGAUACAUGAUUAACCAUGGUUCAGUUACCAAUCUGAAUCUGUCCUGAUGAAAAAAGAUUUAAACUUGCAUGAAAAUGCCCAUGUGAUGUAAGAGUUUAACUAAGAUGAAAAUAUGAGAAUCCAGUGGAACUUGAUGGAACAGAUGAAUUUCAGACUAAUGUAAAAACAGCCCCUAAACGGUAGAGGAUAUGAAAGUCUUUUUUUUUUUUUUUUUUUUUUUUUAAUAAAUAUCAUAAUAGAUUGUUUAGUCAAAAAUAACUGUGUUUGUAUCUAUAUUUUUUUGCAUUUUUCAACUUCUCAUAUUUUAUUACUUCUGUAUUCACCUGCGGGACUCCUGAAUCACUCGGUCUAUGUGAGCCAUGGUAGACAUGACUGUAGCAUUUGAAUAAAGAAAUUGAAACAUCUGAAUUAAACUUCCCCUUGCAGAAACACUUGUAAGUUACUGAAGUGAUCUGUUUCCCCUGUGAACUGAUGCAUAAGGGAUUUUAAACAUGUGCCACUGAAGUGCAUUUUAAAGGCUGUUUUUUUAAAAACCUUUUGUACAAUGCUGAAAUGUAUUUAACUUUCUCUUAAUACUGCUUGGUUGGGCACUUGCCAAAAUAAAUUUAUUAUGCAGCAUGUA